UACAGAGGUCUCAACCGUUGUUCGGAUUCAUUGGGCGUAAAGGGUGCGUAGGCGGCGCGGUAAGUCGGGUGUGAAAUCUCGGAGCUUAACUCCGAAACUGCAUUCGAUACUGCCGUGCUUGAGGACUGGAGAGGAGACUGGAAUUUACGGUGUAGCGGUGAAAUGCGUAGAUAUCGUAAGGAAGACCAGUGGCGAAGGCGGGUCUCUGGACAGUUCCUGACGCUGAGGCACGAAGGCCAGGGGAGCAAACGGG
rnacentral:rRNA from 1 species